GAAAAGUUUGAUUUUUGUUCUAAAAUUAGAUUAAAUUUUGAUUUAUAUGCUAAAUAUGGUUAAUUGAGUUUAGAUAAUAAUUGGGGGAAGCAAUAAAUAAUAUUAAAUAUUAAUGAAAGUUAGAUUUAGUAAAAAUUUUUAGUAUUAACAAAUUUUGUGCCAGCAGUUGCGGUUAUUCAAAUAAUACAAUUUAAUUAAUAUAAAUUUUUAAAGAUUAAAAUAUGAUUAAAUUUAAUUUAUAGAUUAUAAGGUGAAAUUUUUAAUUUAUAAGAAAAUUUGAUUAGUAUAAUUUAAGAAAGUUUUGAGUUAAACUAGGAUUAGAUACCCUAUUAUUUGAACUGUAAAAUUAAAUUAGUUAGUAUUAGUUAAGGUCUUGAAAACUAAAGAUUUUGGCGGUAUUUUAAUCUUUUCAGAGGAACCUGUUUAGUAAACGAUAAUCCACGAUUAAAAAUAUCUUUUUUAUUAAUUUGUAUAUCGUCGUAGUUUGAUUAUUUUUUAAAAAUUUAAAUAUUCAAAAUUUAAUUAAUUAAGGGAUUUCAGAUCAAGGUAUAGUUUAUAAAAAGAUUUAAAUGGGUUACAAUUUAGAUAUAAAAGGAUUAAAAAUUGAAAAUUUUUAUGAAUUUGGAUUUGAAAGUAAUUUUAAAUAUUUUGUUAAAAUGAUUUAAGCUCUAAUAUAUGUACAUAUCGCCCGUCGCUUUCACUUUAAAGUGAAAUAAGUCGUAACAAAGUAGAUUUACUGGAAAGUGGAUCUAGAAGGUU
rnacentral:ncRNA from 1 species